CAGUUUUUCGUCGUCCACAACGCCUCGGUGAAACUCAUUUCUAUGCCUCUCGACAUCGCCACUCACGCUUCUUUCAUGGACUCAAUACUUAGCUGAAGAAUCCAUUUCUUUACGUGCUCGUCAUUUUGGCUGUCCCUUUUUGCAG
rnacentral:misc_RNA from 1 species